rnacentral:rRNA from 1 species
GAUGAACGCUGGCGGCGUGCCUAAUACAUGCAAGUCGAGCGAACAGACGAGGAGCUUGCUCCUCUGACGUUAGCGGCGGACGGGUGAGUAACACGUGGAUAACCUACCUAUAGGACUGGGAUAACUUCGGGAAACCGGAGCUAAUACCGGAUAAUAUAUUGAACCGCAUGGUUCAAUAGUGAAAGACGGUUUUGCUGUCACUUAUAGAUGGAUCCGCGCCGCAUUAGCUAGUUGGUAAGGUAACGGCUUACCAAGGCAACGAUACGUAGCCGACCUGAGAGGGUGAUCGGCCACACUGGAACUGAGACACGGUCCAGACUCCUACGGGAGGCAGCAGUAGGGAAUCUUCCGCAAUGGGCGAAAGCCUGACGGAGCAACGCCGCGUGAGUGAUGAAGGUCUUCGGAUCGUAAAACUCUGUUAUUAGGGAAGAACAAAUGUGUAAGUAACUAUGCACGUCUUGACGGUACCUAAUCAGAAAGCCACGGCUAACUACGUG